rnacentral:rRNA from 1 species
CAGCAGCCGCGGUAAUACGUAGGUGGCAAGCGUUGUCCGGAAUUAUUGGGCGUAAAGGGCUCGCAGGCGGUUUCUUAAGUCUGAUGUGAAAGCCCCCGGCUCAACCGGGGAGGGUCAUUGGAGACUGGGAAACUUGAGUGCAGAAGAGGAGAGUGGAAUUCCACGUGUAGCGGUGAAAUGCGUAGAGAUGUGGAGGAACACCAGUGGCGAAGGCGACUCUCUGGUCUGUAACUGACGCUGAGGAGCGAAAGCGUGGGGAGCGAACAGGAUUAGAUACCCGUGUAGUCCCUGUCUCUUAUAC